rnacentral:lncRNA from 1 species
AUGAGGGUUGCAGGGGUUCCGAGGCGGACCUGGGGAGCAGAAACCCCUGUUUAGGGUGAACCGUGGCGGGCGCCGAUGGCCUCUUGGAAGAGGACAGACUAGCAGCUGCGAGGGAGAUGGGACUGGGUUUCACCCCUGAAAGGGCCCCUGGAGACAGCGGGUGAGGGACAGGGGAAGGGGCUGGUGGUCCUCUCUCCCGAGGCCCCGCACCAUCACACGGAUGACUUGGCACAAUAGCUGCUGGGCCAGUGUUGUCGCCUGUGACUGUACUUUAGGGAAACUGACAGGGAGAUCAUGAUGUCGCCAUUUUGAUGGGGUCCCCAGAGGAGAGAUGUCCUCCCCAACGGCUCCUGGACAGGACUGGGGAAAGAGUUCAGAUAAGUAUCUCUGUGGUCUGGGCUGUCACCUUACAACUGCACAACUCUGGACCUCCAGCAUCAGAACCACUGGGGCCUAGGUUAAUAAUACAGAUUUUCAGGCUCCAAUUUGGACAGACGAAACUGAUCUCUGGGGUGGGACCCAGGAAUCUACGUGUAAACAAGCACCCAGGGGAGUUCUGCUCACUGAAAUUUGAGAAUCCCUGAUUUAGAAGGAGGACUAUGCUCUGUGCAUGUUCUCUGAAAUGUUGGGUCAAUCAGGACCUGUCUACUGAAACUGCUCCAACCAGCCAAGGUGCAGAGAAAAGAUGCGUGCAGGGCCGAAAACCAGGGUGCUCUGGAGGCAGGGAGCCCUCGAGAAUGUAAAGCCAGCAAGCUGUUACAGAGUGAUUUGCACAGAACAGACACUCAGUUGAUAUUUGUCAAUUUGCUGUGUUUAAGAACCUUGCUGAAUUAAUUUAAAAGGUAUUUUUAAAAGAAUGAAAUUGAGGAAAAAACCUUCAAGGUUCAGAAAAUGUGAAGUUCUCAUUUACUUGUUUAUGAAAUUGUUUUUGAGUCCAAUAAAGAUGCUCAGCUAAAAUGGUUUUUUUGUUUUAAAUCUCAGAAUUAAGUUUCUCUUAGUUUUGGGCAGUUCGGUCCAGCUACUUGCAAAAGACAGGCUUCCAUAUCUCCUGUAUGCAGCCCUGAAGGACCCAACAGAAGUAAAAUAGUUAUUUAAGGAAUGCAAAGGACUAGGGACAGGAUGCAGAUUAAAAUGUUUAAGAUGAUGUCUGCAGAUGAUGUUUGUAGAUGCUUAAGUUUGUUGAAUUCUUAGUCUUCCUCACAAAGCAGCUAAUUACUUUCAAGACUCUAGUGAGCCUCAAUUUACUCCAAUUUAUGAUUUCCAAUGGUUCUGCAUAAAACUGGGUUGCCGUUUUAUGAAAUUGUUUGCAUCUGCUUGACGUGGGCGCAAACUUCACAGUGAGGAGAUAAUGUGAGGGUUUUGCCUUCUUGCAAAACAACUUACAUAUAUAUGUGAAAAAACUGGGGUUGGGGUUUGAAUUAUGUGGACUGCCUGUGCGUAGUAAGCUCUCUGGUCAGUUACCUAUUUGGCUUUGUGUGGACACAGCUCUUAGGAGGGAGGGUGGUGGAAUUCCUGCUCAUUACCUAUAGUAUCUUGCAGGAGGGCUGCUGAACGCCGGAGCCUUACAACUGUUAAACUCAGGCAGAGCUCGGGAAAUGCUGCCCGGAUGGGUGACUGAUGGAGAGGGGCUACCACUCUUCCAGCUAAACUCCGCUCUGGUUGGGACCCAGCAAUUAUUUUCCAUAGCGAAGUGUUAAUAAAAUAUCUGUUACUCCCAACACAACCUCCUGGGGGAAGGGACCUGUCUGUCUGCUUCAACUUUGGAUCCUCAGUGCCCACAUCAGGAUACCUGGCCUGAGAGCAUCCGGUGACCCAGUUUUAGGUCUCAAGGUCACUGCCAAGAAAGAGAAGCUGCUAAAGUGACACCUCUGUGCACCCACAUGACUUAACACAAAAGUUAACAGGAGCUCUUCAAAAACAAGCCUCUCGAGUGUCUGUCUCCUGUUUUCCCUGAGGACAGCAUCAGUGGCAUCAGAUAGGGGUUGGGGCUGGGUGACCUGCUGGUCCUCAGCCAUCACUGUGGCCCAGAGGUCAUUUAAGCAGCUCUCUGCUUAGCAGACAGGCAGAGGGAAUAGAUGGAAGGUACAGGUAAACACUGCAUGUGGCCACCGCGAGGAUACCCCGGAGCCUGGGAAACAGACAGGGACGUCGUAAAACCAACACAUAAUGGACCAGUGCAGAGACAGGCAAAACCAGUCAGAAGAAAUAGGAUGGUGCCUAGCCCAGGGACACCUGACUUAAGAGAGGGUCCUGCCGGUAUUACCCUGGAGGAAGGAAUGCUGCACAGAGGCCGAGAGGAAUUUGAACAGACUGGCCUUGCUGGGUUUUUAUCUCUUUUUGUCCAAUCCCAUUUUGACACAGUUGUCCAUGCUCCAAUCAUGCUUAUCCAAUGAAGUUUCCAUAACAGGCCUGAGAGGACAGGGUUCAGGAGCUUCCGGACAGCUGAGCAGGUGGAGGUUCCUGGAGGGUGGUGUGCCAGGGAGGGUGUGGAAGCUCUGCCCCUUCCCCCAUACCUUGUCCUAUGCAUUCCUUUAUCUGCAUCCUUCAUUUUAUUUUAUUUUUUUUUGAGACGGAGUCUUGCUCUUGUCGUCCAGGCUGGAAUGCAGUGGUGCGCGA